UACCUGGUGAAGCUAGACCCCAGGGUUGGCUGAUCAUGAGUAAGCCCCUCCCUCGAGCCUCCUGCACCAAGCCCCUAACCUUCUGGAACAUUUACCCUACAGUCUUUUUGACCUUUCUCCAUCCCCUGCCCUUCACCCUUUUCACAAGAGCAUGGUAAGGACUCAAAGAUAGGAUCCUGGACAGAAAAUCCACCACCCUCUCAACCUUACACCUCAGUUCUCUUGUCUCUAGGCACAUCAAGUUUUCAAGAGAACUAGCUUUAUGUAACUACUUUUUUUUUUGUAAUUAUCAAAAGUAGAUUAGACUUAAAUGUUUAAAACUAAAGAAGAAGAAAAAACAACAACUAUAUCUCACAUCUUAGAAACUGGGAAUGAAACAGAGGAGAAAUCCAAUCAGACGUCACAAAUGACGAGGCCCAUGCCUUGCUCGUAGUAGAAUCCAGAAGAACUGCUACGGGGCUGUCAGAAAAUUAAUAUGACAUGGUCACAAGAAAAAUUUUAGACACAACCACUUCAACAGCUUCUUGGAGUACUAAAGACUCUGUGAAUCAGGCAGCACUUAGAAGGACAGGUUCAGAGAGAUCCAGUUAGCAGUGUGAACAGCAGACUUUUUAAAGCAAUGCAGAAGCAAUCUACACUAGAGGAGUGGCUGCGGCUCACCAUUGGCCUUCUUUGCCGUCAUCCAUUGAAAGUCCCAAGACACAAGGUAAUUGCUUCUGUGGUCCUGUCCCUAAAAAUGAUCCUUCUUCCUCAUGCAGAGAACUGAAAUUUGAAACCUGUCAUGUGCUUUAGUUUUGGCUGUGGCAAAUAGAACAUUGUUUCCGAUGGUAUUCCAGACAGACUAUGGACUAAAGCAUCGUCCCUUGGCAUUAUGCAGCGACUACACAAUCCCUGACUGAAGGUCCCAGCUGGAGAGCCAGUGGUGUCGUCCUGGCUGGAGUCCCAUUAUUUUCAUUGGCCUUAGAUGAAUGACCAGGAACGAACGCUGACCAAUUACCCCUUCAGCAUUUAACCUGGAAGAACGAACCGAGAGUCUCCACUAUUGGUGUGUGGUCAGUACUGUCAAAGGAGCAGAGACUUAGAAGUGCUGCCUAAAAGUUUCCUUCUUUUUUUUUUUCCCCUUCCCACCUCUGUCUCCAUGGAGAUGAGGUCAGAGGCCACAGGGAGCUAGCAGAGAGCCAGCAGCUGAGAAUGAGAAGGCUCACUUAGAGAGCUCAGCUGAAAGCUAUAAACUCCUUUACAAAGACCAGCUGAGUCUGUUGGCUUCAGCAUCUGAGGUGUUUUUUUUUUUUCACUGAUAAAUAGGGGGCUUUUUGUUUUUGUCUCUUGGGGUGUAACAGGGGGAGAAGAGGUGCAACUGAGUAAAAAUCAGGUUUGUCUUUACAAUUAGGCUUAGUCUGUCAAUCAAUGGAGAAAUAAUGUGCAAACGUAGAAAAAUCCCCUAAAAGGUGGACUUCCAUUUAAUUAAUACCUUUAAAUAAUACUGUGCGCGAAAAACUAAACCAUGUUUGACCUUUGUUCUUUCAAGCUGGCCAUUCUCAUCUUCAUUGCAUACUGUCGAUUGUAAAUGGUUUUGUCUGAUGGAACGCCACAUUAAUGCAAUUCAAAAUGACCGGUAAAAAACAAAUCUGAAGGUACAGGCGGUUGGUCUCGUCCCAUAAACACUUGCAUGAGUUAAGGAACAGUUUACUGUCACCCUUGUCUCUCUCCAACUGUGGUCACUGUAUGUCUGAGCUCUGUCCCUACCGUUACGGGAGAAGAUGAGGGAGACAGAAGAGGGAGAGAGGAAGGGAAGGCAAUAACUAAUUUACUUCCUAUGGCUUGAGAUGAGUCACCACUUAAAUAUGUCAAAAGACUUUAUCCCUUUUAUUUAUUGUAUCGUUUUACACAUUAACGGCUAGACAUUUAUUGAAACAAUGUAAAAUGUAAAUUUAGGUUUGAGAAAACCCAACUGAGUCCUUAUUAAAAGAAGAUCUUAAAAAAAAAAAAGGUUUCUCUUUUGAAUAUACUUUCCAUUUUUGCCACAUAUCUUUAAAGCUCACAGCUUAUAAAGUCAGCGUUAUUCUCAAGUACGUUUGCAAAACUCUCGUUUCUCUUACAUUAAAGGAGUCAGUUGUUAGCUUUAGCCUCCAGUCACACAAGCACUCCAAAGUUUCUAGAAAGUAGUUUCAGCAAACAUCAGGACUACAGUCUCUCUGGGUGCUGUGAGUUCUCUCU
rnacentral:sRNA from 1 species